rnacentral:lncRNA from 1 species
GAAAUGUCGUGAGAUAUAGAAAUCUGCUAUAUUAAACUCAUCCUGAAGAAUUAGUAUUGUCCUCAGUUGUGGUCCUGAACAUUCCAAAAAGAGCUUAUGCCAUCGAUGUUAUUAUGAGUUUUCAGAGGUUGCUCUGACAUCAGGGGCUGUGUCACAAAGCCUUCUGUCUGAUCAUUUUCAACUAACUAUACACGUUGGCAGACACAUCACUUCAUCACUUCCCUGAAGAAGAGAAGCUGCAUGCCGAAUAUUUGCAAAGAGAUUGCUUUGUCCUGAAUUUCACUCUAGAAAUUGCAGAAACCAAGACUUCCACGAUGUCUAUUAAACAGAUGUCUACAAAUAAGAAGAUAAACUUUUCUCUGGAUAACUGGAAAGAAUCCUAGAAAUCAGAGUAUUGUGCCCUUUGAAAAAUAUUGAAGAAACUCUACAAAGUCUUGCUCUUCAACACAGUUUUUUGGACUCCAUACAGAACACUCUGCAUUAUGACCAGACAAUGGACUUAUUGCCACGGUGGAAUAAAGGUUAGAUUUUAAUCUGUGUAGUUUGUGCCUGCCCAGUAUUCGUUCAUUCUUCCUCCAGUAGUGAAGGCCAGAAUUCCCUCUGAAGAGCCAGUUCCUCCCAUCUAUGACUCUUAGUCCAUCUGAUUCUGGUGGAGCCCACUUCUUCCCCACUCCAGCGUGGUCCCAAGUCUCAGACUCAAGCCAAUCAGUGCAUCCCAAACCCAGGAUUGCUCUAGGAUGGUCAUGUGAUUCAACUAAGCUAAGAAGAGGCAGAUCCAGGACUUUAAAAAACAAACAAUAAACUCCUGAAACAACUCCCCA